AAAUCAUUAAUGAUUUGUCAUCUGUCUGUAUAAAGAGACUAGAAAGAGUAUUUUGAAGCAAUGGAAAUGGGUUUCUCAAGGUUGUUGUUUUUCUUUUAUCCCGCUUUCAUUCAACUAGUGUUCGCCAUGGCACAGCCAAAUUCGCUGUAUUAUGGUUGUGGAAUAAGUGGUAAUUUUACCACUAACAGUACCUACCAAUCAAACCUUGAUAGCACCCUUACCUCCAUCUCCUC
rnacentral:misc_RNA from 1 species